AGGUGGCCUAGUGGUUAACACAUCAGGCCAGUAGCCGAUCGUUGUAGGUUCGAGUCCGG
rnacentral:tRNA from 11 species